AUACGUAAUGGUAUGGUAUCCUUACCUGAAUACAUAGGGUAAGGAAGACAGACCCAGGGAACUGAAACAUCUAAGUACCUGGAGGAAGAGAAAGCAAAUGCGAUUUCCUGAGUAGCGGCGAGCGAAACGGAACAUAGCCCAAACCAAGAGGCUUGCCUCUUGGGGUUGUAGGACAUUCUAUACGGAGUUACAAAGGAACGAGGUAGACGAAGCGACCUGGAAAGGUCCGUCGUAGAGGGUAACAACCCCGUAGUCGAAACUUCGUUCUCUCUUGAAUGUAUCCUGAGUACGGCGGAACACGUGAAAUUCCGUCGGAAUCUGGGAGGACCAUCUCCCAAGGCUAAAUACUCCCUAGUGAUCGAUAGUGAACCAGUACCGUGAGGGAAAGGUGAAAAGCACCCCGGAAGGGGAGUGAAAGAGAUCCUGAAACCGUGUGCCUACAAAUAGUCAGAGCCCGUUAAUGGGUGAUGGCGUGCCUUUUGUAGAAUGAACCGGCGAGUUACGAUCCCGUGCGAGGUUAAGCUGAAGAGGCGGAGCCGCAGCGAAAGCGAGUCUGAAUAGGGCGUUUAGUACGUGGUCGUAGACCCGAAACCAGGUGAUCUACCCAUGUCCAGGGUGAAGUUCAGGUAACACUGAAUGGAGGCCCGAACCCACGCACGUUGAAAAGUGCGGGGAUGAGGUGUGGGUAGCGGAGAAAUUCCAAUCGAACCUGGAGAUAGCUGGUUCUCCCCGAAAUAGCUUUAGGGCUAGCCUUAAGUGUAAGAGUCUUGGAGGUAGAGCACUGAUUGAACUAGGGGUCCUCAUCGGAUUACCGAAUUCAGUCAAACUCCGAAUGCCAAUGACUUAUCCUUAGGAGUCAGACUGCGAGUGAUAAGAUCCGUAGUCAAGAGGGAAACAGCCCAGAUCGCCAGCUAAGGUCCCAAAGUGUGUAUUAAGUGGAAAAGGAUGUGGAGUUGCUUAGACAACUAGGAUGUUGGCUUAGAAGCAGCCACCAUUUAAAGAGUGCGUAAUAGCUCACUAGUCGAGUGACUCUGCGCCGAAAAUGUACCGGGGCUAAAUACACCACCGAAGCUGCGAAUUGAUACCAAUGGUAUCAGUGGUAGGGGAGCGUUCUAAGUGCAGUGAAGUCAGACCGGAAGGACUGGUGGAGCGCUUAGAAGUGAGAAUGCCGGUAUGAGUAGCGAAAGACGGGUGAGAAUCCCGUCCACCGAAUGCCUAAGGUUUCCUGAGGAAGGCUCGUCCGCUCAGGGUUAGUCAGGACCUAAGCCGAGGCCGACAGGCGUAGGCGAUGGACAACAGGUUGAUAUUCCUGUACCACCUCUUUAUCGUUUGAGCAAUGGAGGGACGCAGAAGGAUAGAAGAAGCGUGCGAUUGGUUGUGCACGUCCAAGCAGUUAGGCUGAUAAGUAGGCAAAUCCGCUUAUCGUGAAGGCUGAGCUGUGAUGGGGAAGCUCCUUAUGGAGCGAAGUCUUUGAUUCCCCGCUGCCAAGAAAAGCUUCUAGCGAGAUAAAAGGUGCCUGUACCGCAAACCGACACAGGUAGGCGAGGAGAGAAUCCUAAGGUGUGCGAGAGAACUCUGGUUAAGGAACUCGGCAAAAUGACCCCGUAACUUCGGGAGAAGGGGUGCUUUCUUAACGGAAAGCCGCAGUGAAUAGGCCCAAGCGACUGUUUAGCAAAAACACAGGUCUCUGCGAAGCCGUAAGGCGAAGUAUAGGGGCUGACACCUGCCCGGUGCUGGAAGGUUAAGGAGAGGGGUUAGCGUAAGCGAAGCUCUGAACUGAAGCCCCAGUAAACGGCGGCCGUAACUAUAACGGUCCUAAGGUAGCGAAAUUCCUUGUCGGGUAAGUUCCGACCCGCACGAAAGGUGUAACGAUUUGGGCACUGUCUCAACCAGAGACUCGGUGAAAUUAUAGUACCUGUGAAGAUGCAGGUUACCCGCGACAGGACGGAAAGACCCCGUGGAGCUUUACUGUAGCCUGAUAUUGAAUUUUGGUACA
rnacentral:rRNA from 2 species